AUUUUCUUUUUCCUAUCCGAAUUAAGGUCUCCGGAUUUCACUUAUAUUUAUUGCUAAGAUGAUUACUUAAUUAUCCGAAAAUAUUUGCUUUAUUUCGAGACAAGCAAUGUUAAAUUGAGGUCAAUCCAAUACAUUCUUCAGUCACGUAUUGUAUUUUAAAUUUUGUAGUAUGUUCACUUAAUUACUCCUUUGGCGCACAAAAAUAGUUUUAUCCGAAGUUUAAGUAGCGUCAACCGCGCAUGUGCAAAGCCAAUUAUUGCGCAAUCGGUGUUUUCGCUAAAACCUGACCCGGAAAUUUAGCAUAUUUUAUACGCGUCAAUGCGAAGAAAAGAAAGGUUAACCAAAUGAAAUAUUAGCAUAAAUGGGUGGGAUUAAGUCCAAAUAUGGCGUAUAUGACCUACAUAUGAUAUAAAUGCUGAAUUUUAGUAGGGAGAAUAAGGUUUGAAAACUAAACAAAUCGCGAUUUUGUUGAAAACGGCCAUAUACGCGGAUCUUUCUGUGGUUUUAAUGAAGUUUGAUCAUUAUUCUAAAUAAAAUGGGUAACAUUUACACCGUAUUUAACCGUAAUAUAUGUGAAUUUAGGUUAUUUUCAAUAUUGGUGCGCGACCGCGAGGGGAGUAAAGAAUGGAUAAAAUUACCUCCCCUGCCAAUCGAGCACUUGCCAAUGUGGACGUUUCCGGAACGAUUGCAAACAAAAAUUAAUGCGUAUUACUUCGUAAUUGCAACAGCGAUUUGUAUCUGGUAGAUGACAAUAUUGCCGUUUGGUGCAGAAGAAACUCACUGACUCCGUGACAGAGUGUGUCCGCCUCGGGCUGGUUCAACUUUGAUUUGAGUUUUAUUAUGAGUGACCGAGACCUAAUCACAACUGAUAUCAGUGGUUCCCCGCUUUGGAGAAUGGUAUUUCUGUCUUGGCGCGGCGCACUUCGAUUCAUCUUAGCAGCAUACUAAGAAGUUGCCGGGUCCAAUACAAGAUACGGGAUAGGUAUCUCUGUCUUGGCGCGGCGCACUUCGAUUCAUCUUAGCAGCAUACUAAGAAGUUGGUUGGUCCAAUACAAGAUACAGGAUAGGUCAGUGAUGGUUAUAGAAGCAGUCAGGAGUGAAUUGUGCACUGGAAAAACAUUCUAGAGUGGAAUAAAAAACUUGGGUCAGCUUUUUGUGAAAAGUGAAAAAAGUGACUUUCCGAAUGUUGAUCUUUUGCAUAAUCUGGAGUUGUUAAAUUCUAUGUGCUUUGACAUAACAUAUUAAAAGUAUACAUUUUUGUUAUAAGUAUGGUUAUAUCUAUCUGAAACAGUAAGGUUUAAGCUGGAUUUAAUUUAAAUCACUGAUUGUUGCUAGUUUAAGCCAUUGUAGGUCACUCGAUUUUACCAUCAUUUACUACAAGAUCUUGCGAUGUAUUACCGAUAUUUCUUCUUAUCAUUUUUACGCAAGUACUAUCAGAUUGAUUUAAACCGCUUCAAGCCUUUUGUAUUCUUUUAUCAUUUAAUAAUUUUAGUUUUUAAACCUAAAUAAGCGAUCACGAAAGGUAACUGACUAGAGAAGCAGUCAAUAGUUACAUUGGCGUUUGAUUUGAAUUGACAAUUUCCUACUGAGUGAUAUCCCUUUUCGAGCAGAGAAAAUCUGUGACACCGCGUAAGACAACUAACUUGAAUUGAGCUUAUUAUCGGUUUAUUUUUGAUAAAUAAACAUGUUGCGUGUAUUAAUGUAAUAUUGUACUUAAGUUUUACGAAAUAACUUUUUACAUUUAAUAAAUGUAUCAGAAAA